UUAGUACUGGCACUCUAGAGA
ensembl:piRNA 21ur-2179 ncRNA